rnacentral:rRNA from 1 species
GGAAGGUCCGGGCGUUAUCCGGAUUUAUUGGGUUUAAAGGGAGCGUAGGCCGGAGAUUAAGCGUGUUGUGAAAUGUAGACGCUCAACGUCUGCACUGCAGCGCGAACUGGUUUCCUUGAGUACGCACAAAGUGGGCGGAAUUCGUGGUGUAGCGGUGAAAUGCUUAGAUAUCACGCAGAACGCCGAUUGCGAAGGCAGCUUACCGGCGCUCAACUGACGCUCAGGCACGAAAGUGCGGGUAUC